rnacentral:lncRNA from 1 species
UAUUAAAUGUGUUAUUCUUAUUCUCAUAUAGUGGAUCAGGUUGAGUGGUGUAUUUCUUAUUGUAAUAAGGAAAUUGCUUUGUGCUGCAAAAAUGUGCCGACGAAAAACGACUAAGCAUGUAAAUUAGUGGUUAGUAUUUGAGUGAAUACCAUUUUUAUUCUUCACCUAUUUUCUUUAUUACCACCUUAGCCAUGUAUAUAGUAAGUGGUUUCUUACUUCGCCAAAUUUUGUUGGAGUGCAUGUCGCAUUAUAUAACAUUAAUGCUCUUGUAAUAAUUUGGUUGUGUCGAUCUUCUUGGGGAUAGAUUUCAAUUUUUCCAUCCUAAGUUUGAACUUUGAUUCGCAAUGUUGUGGCAGCAUAACAUUUCUACUACGUCUUGUAAAAAAUAAACAUUUCUACUAGACCCAACACAUGUU